rnacentral:rRNA from 1 species
UACGAAGGGGGCUAGCGUUGUUCGGAAUUACUGGGCGUAAAGCGCGUGUAGGCGGUUGCCCAAGUCGGGUGUGAAAGCCUUGGGCUCAACUCAAGAAAUGCACUCGGUACUGGGUGACUAGAGGACCGGAGAGGAUAGUGGAAUUCCCAGUGUAGUGGUGAAAUACGUAGAGAUUGGGAAGAACACCAGUGGCGAAGGCGGCUAUCUGGACGGUUUCUGACGCUAAGACGCGAAAGCGUGGGGAGCAAACAGG